AAAUAUGGUCUUAUCACCCUGAACAUGCCUGAUCUCAUCUGAUCUUGGAAGCUAAGUAGGAUUAGGCCUGGUUAGUACUUGGUAGACAAAAUAAGAGAAAUUUUCUUAUAUUUC
ensembl:rRNA 5S_rRNA 5S ribosomal RNA